CCGCCACAUCUGGCAGAUGUGCAAGAAGUCAGAGGUCCUCUUCUGGACAGCAGAGGAGGCCAGAGUGAAGAAGAAAAGCAGCAGCUCGCUGACGGAGAACCCUGGCCACGUCGUCAUCUUCCCCUUGGAUGUCGUAUCGCCACAUCUGCGAGAUGUACAAGAAGACUGAUGCAUACGUCGGGACAACGGAAGAGACUCUGACACGAGGGGCAUGGAGAAACCUGUUUUUU